GAAUGAUUUGUGUACAGGGCAGAGGCCUCUGUAAAGGCCUCUGCAGGCUUCUGCAAAGGAUGGUGGAUAGGCUCCAGCACACUUACAAGUAUGAGAUAUUAUUUCCAUCAGGCUCAGGACCAUCUCUUUAGGAUAAGGUCAAGAGAAAUCUCUUGGAAUGUGGUGUUAACAGGUUCCAACUGGUGUGGGUGUUUUAUAUUACUUUGCAUAUAUUGACAAAUGUAUGGUUUGGAUGCAAUGGACGUGAAGACAAACGCAAAUAUGUAAAGGAAUGUGGGGUGAAUACAUAACCACUACUGAAAAAUGUAUGAAAAUGUGGGUUCUCUGAUUUUUAGACAUUCUCCAGAGGGUGCCUCAAUAAUGCGUGUUAAUGUUAACCUACAAUAAAGUACGUGCACAGUUAUGCUCUUUAACCAAUUCUGAAGUCUGCAUUUUUAUUUAAUAUUUGAAUUGAACUUUAAAACUAGCCGACUGGGCACCUAGGAACCACAUACUGUUGCUAUGUGCAGAGAUGUGGGCUUGCAGCCCAUUGUUGGGCAGAGUCCAUCGCACUGCUCCAAUAGACCUGCUCUGACUGCUACUUUCCCACGUCGGCAGUCGAAGUCGUUUCUCCUUCACAAUGCUUUUCACCUGGUUGGCCAGUUUCACCGUCUCAGUAGACAAGCUAAAAGAAACUGUUGGCAGCCUCUCGUUGCUCCUGUAAUAUGACCGUCGCCAGACCAGAGAGUGGAACUGGAUGGCAGUGUGGCACUUGCAGCUGCAGUUUGUUUGCUUCAAGAUUUAAUACGUAUUGGACAGAGCACUCAACCAUUUCACUACAGCCAGAAGCGCAGCA